AGACAAUCCUGGGAUCCCAACUAUAAUCGAGGGCGUCCCAACUAUAAUCGAGGGCGACACGCAUGGGAGAUUAGAAAGCAGCUACUUCUCACGUGUGACUGUUAAUAAUUUGCUUACUAAUACGUGCUAAGUUUUUUCAAUCUCCUUCCUAUUUCAGAAGCAGGGAUCACAGCCUAUGGUCCACUAUGCACAGCUGAGAUGGAUGUACCUAGGAGAGGCACAGCCCCAGGGGGUUUGUCUCUGGAUUGCUCCUUGAUGUUGCGGUUCUUUCUGAAUCUAGCAAGGUGUGAGUGGGUGUGGGGAGACCCUCUCUACCUAUAGAGUCUGCUGUCAUUGCUUCUUGAGAGACAGCCCACUCUACUGAGUGAACGAGGAGAGACGUGGAAGGGAGGAGAAAAAAGAGACAAGACGGAGAAACAGCAGAGGAUGGUGAUGAUUCUUCCAGCUAUAGCCGGUAACUCUUCAUGGUCAGCCACCACCCAUGGUGUCUUGGUGCCUAAUCAACAAAACUCCAAGCAGGAAGGUCUGCAGGUCUCCCUGCCACCUGAAUCCUAGGCAAGCCACGUCUCUUAGCUCGUUUGGUGUUUCUUUCUAUAACGCAUGUGGCUGGCUUAAAGGUACCUGUGAAGUGUCACACACACCCCAUCUCUUAAGCUCUAGGAAUUAUGGCUUUAUGAUCCACGGAUAUUUGAGCCAUACCCAGGACCAGAGACCGGGAUGGUCCGUGAUUUCUGCCUUGCUAUCUCUUUGUCAGUGGGGCUGCCUAACUCAAGGGCAAGAGAAUGUGGAGGAUGGGAAAGAUGAUGGAAGGAGAGGAGGGGAGAGAGCUGGGUACUCACAGCAGGAGGAGAUGGGGACACUGAUGGCCACGAUGACCCAGGCAAUAUCCAUCUUGCUCAAGCAGAUGGUGGCUCUGUGCUGGG
rnacentral:lncRNA from 1 species